rnacentral:rRNA from 1 species
GUUGUAUGGUUAAGUGACGAAGCGUAUACGGUGGAUGCCUUGGCAGUUAGAGGCGAUGAAGGACGUGUAAGUCUGCGAAAAGCUGUGGUGAGCCGACAAAAUGCAUUUGAGCCACAGAUGUCCGAAUGGGGAAACCCACCUGUUUACAGGUAUCGUUACAUGAAUACAUAGUGUAACGAGGCGAACGAGGGGAACUGAAACAUCUAAGUACCCUUAGGAAAAGAAAUCAAUUGAGAUUCCCCUAGUAGCGGCGAGCGAACGGGGAGCAGCCCUUAAGCUGUUUAGUGUGUAGUGGAAUCCUUUGGGAAGAGGAGCGAUACAGGGUGAUAGCCCCGUACACGUAGCGUGCUUUACAGUGAAAUCGAGUAGGUCGGGACACGUGUUAUCUUGACUGAAUAUGGGGGGACCAUCCUCCAAGGCUAAAUACUCCUAACUGACCGAUAGUGAACCAGUACCGUGAGGGAAAGGCGAAAAGAACCCCUGUGAGGGGAGUGAAAUAGAACCUGAAACCGUAUACGUACAAGCAGUGGGAGCCCUUCGGGGUGACUGCGUACCUUUUGUAUAAUGGGUCAGCGACUUAUAUUUAGUAGCAAGGUUAAG